rnacentral:rRNA from 1 species
GACGAACCGUGCGAACGUUGUUCGGAAUCACUGGGCUUAAAGGGCGCGUAGGCGGGCGGUCAAGUCAGAGGUGAAAUCCCACGGCUCAACCGUGGAAGCGCCCCUGAUACUGAUUGUCUCGAGGGAGGUAGGGGCGUGCGGAACUUCCGGUGGAGCGGUGAAAUGCGUAGAUAUCGGAAGGAGCACCGAUGGCGAAAGCAGCGCGCUGGACCUCUACUGACGCUGAGGCGCGAAAGCCAGGGGAGCAAACGGG